GUGCUGGCUUCAGUAGCACAUAUACUAAAAUUGGAACGAUAUAGAGAAGAUUAGCAUGACCUCUGCACAAGGAUGACACACAAAUUUGUAAAGUGUUCCAUAUUUAA
ensembl:snRNA U6 U6 spliceosomal RNA